UAGGGGUGUCGAAGGACUCAUUCAACAUUUGAAUGAUCUCUUCUAACUGUGCAUCUUCGAACUUACGACUAAGUUCAUCAUUCAUGGCUGCCUUCAUCACACAAUACACAGUCGUGCGGUCAUUGAGCCACUUCAUGUAAGUAUCUUUCAUGGCACGAGGAGCAUUGGCUGCAGGUUCUUCAAUUGCCUGAUUCAUAAGGACGUACAAAAUUCUCUCAUGCUCCAAGAUGAUCUUCAACUUUUGAUACCAGC
rnacentral:lncRNA from 1 species